GACGAACGCUGGCGGCGUGCUUAACACAUGCAAGUCGAACGGAAAGGCCCUGCUUUUUUGGGGUUCUCGAUUGGCGAACGGGUGAGUAACACGUGAGUAACCUGCCCUUGACUUUGGGAUAACUUCAGGAAACUGGGGCUAAUACCGGAUAGGAGCUCCUGCUGCAUGGUGGGGGUUGGAAAGUUUCGGCGGUUGGGGAUGGACUCGCGGCUUAUCAGCUUGUUGGUGGGGUAGUGGCUUACCAAGGGUUUGACGGGUAGCCGGCCUGAGAGGGUGACCGGCCACAUUGGGACUGAGAUACGGCCCAGACUGCAACGGGAGGCAGCAGUGGGGAAUAUUGCACAAUGGGCGGAAGCCUGAUGCAGCAACGCCGCGUGCGGGAUGACGGCCUUCGGGUUGUAAACCGAUUUCGCCUGUGACGAAGCGUGAGUGACGGUAAUGGGUAAAGAAGCACCGGCUAACUACGUG
rnacentral:rRNA from 1 species